rnacentral:rRNA from 1 species
GACGAACGCUGGCGGCGUGCCUAAUACAUGCAAGUAGAACGCACAGUUUAUACCGUAGCUUGCUACACCAUAGACUGUGAGUUGCGAACGGGUGAGUGACGUGUAGGUAACCUGCCUGGUAGCGGGGGAUAACUAUUGGAAACGAUAGCUAAUACCGCAUAAUAUUAAUUAUUGCAUGAUAAUUAAUUGAAAGGUGCAAUUGCACCACUACCAGAUGGACCUGCGUUGUAUUAGCUAGUAGGUGAGGUAACGGCUCACCUAGGCGACGAUACAUAGCCGACCUGAGAGGGUGAUCGGCCACACUGGGACUGAGACACGGCCCAGACUCCUACGGGAGGCAGCAGUAGGGAAUCUUCGGCAAUGGACGAAAGUCUGACCGAGCAACGCCGCGUGAGUGAAGAAGGUUUUCGGAUCGUAAAGCUCUGUUGUAAGAGAAGAACGGGUGUGAGAGUGGAAAGUUCACACUGUGACGGUAUCUUACCAGAAAGGGACGGCUAACUACGUG